UACGAAGGGGGCAAGCGUUGUUCGGAAUUACUGGGCGUAAAGGGAGUGUAGGCGGUUUAGUAAGAUAGUGGUGAAAUCCCAGAGCUUAACUUUGGAAUUGCCAUUAUAACUAUUAGACUAGAAUUACAGAGAGGAUGGUGGAAUACCCAGUGUAGAGGUGAAAUUCGUAGAUAUUGGGUAGAACACCAGUGGCGAAGGCGACUAUCUGGCUGUACAUUGACGCUGAGGCUCGAAAGCAUGGGGAUCAAACAGG
rnacentral:rRNA from 1 species